ensembl:lncRNA
UCUCAGGGGUCUCUAGCGAGCCUCUGGCCUCUUCGGCUUCUCAAAGCUGGCAAAGUUGGCCACACAGUGUAUAACCAAGUCCUUUCUCAUCCUUCUUUCCCUUCUCACCUUCAUCAGGGGACCCUCCCUUGCCUAGUCUGGCUUGGCUCUUGAACAGCAUUUUAAAGAAAGCUGGACAGGUUUUCAGCUUCAGACCCAAGAGGAAUGGAUGAUGGGGAAAGUCUCUUCCAGGAUCUAUGGGGAAGUGAAAGAGGGAAGAUGGGCUGUGUGCUGCAACCUCCAUAUAACCGCUACCUCUGAACAACUGGGAGAACUGUCAAGUGCUUGGUGCUACCCUUUUUAUGGUGAUGGUAAUGCUGAUUUCGAAAGAACAUAACCUCAAGACUCGUUUUGUGCUACCAAAAAAAAAAAAAAUUUUUUUUUUUGGUGGCCUUCCAGGUUUCUGCUCAGGGACCAGACGGUACUGUUUAACCCAGCAAGGCAUCACCCUGGAUACAGUUAGGUGGCCUCUCCCUUUAUUGACCUAGUGCUGUCAUUCAGGCAGUGAAAGUGGCACUGGAUAUAUUUGCCAGAGGUUCUGCGCACACACAUUUUUGAUCACCUGCCAGGUGUACUUUCAGGCUAACCCCUUGUGCCCUCAGCAAUGCUUAGGGAAAAUGUCCUUUUUGGGAUUGCAGCUACUAGAACUCCCUUUUCCAGAUCGCACUGCUGGGCGGAGGAUUCUGGACGUUGUCCAAAAUAACAACAACAGUCUUGCUAAGUUCCUUCCCCCAAAGCUCUUUGGAGAUACUAAAUACUUUGCUAAAGCUCUGUCCAGUUGAGCCAGCCUGUGGACAAGGAAUGCUUGGAACAGAUGGGCCAGGGUCACCCUUCCUAGCCACACCCUCCCUGAGAAGGCCUACCUGGCCUUCUGCACACAACCUAUGUGCCUUAACAAGUUGCACCCUCCUUUUUUUUCUUUUUUUGCAGGGUUCAGAGUGUGCCACGGAAACCCAACUCACAGGAAGGCUGGAAGCAGGGAGACUCUUCCUGCUUCCGACGAAACGUGCAAGGACAAAGUCAGUGUCAAAGGGAUGCAAAUUUCAAACUCCUUGCUUUCCCACUCAGCUACAUUUAACCAUUCCUAUCGCCAUACAGCGUGCAUGGACAAGUCUUGCCAAAUUCAGGGUCACCCAGUGAAGGUGAGAGAGAACAAGCAAGAAGAAGUCUUCCUCCCGCCCCAGCCAACAGCGUGGACUAGAAUUGCCGGAACACCUUAUAAAAAUCUUGUUUGUUUGUUUCAUAGGCCACCUUUCUCCUAAUAAGGGGACCCAAGGUGGCUCACAAUAUUAAAAAGAAUAGAAUUAAAAAUCAUCGUAAGUUAAACAUUAAAAAAACAAUUAAACGAUAUGCUAAUUAAAAUACAAUUGAAGAGUUAAAAGCAACUGUGAGUGCAAAAGGAGUGUUUGCUUUUGAUUGCACUCAUAGUGAAAUGUCUCCAAAGUCAGGAACACCAUAAAACUGGGUUUAUUUGUAACUGUAGGUAGGGCUUGGCUAAUGGUAAGAAAAACAUUUGUGCACACAGAGAUGCAUGUGCGUAUGUACACAUAUACACACACAUUGCUCCUUGCUCCAAGAGUUCUUCAACCAGGUAAAUCAGGUAAGCAGAGUGCUAGCAUCAGAUGGUACCUCCAAGAGUUCUUCAACCAGGUAAAUCAGAUGGUAUAUACUGGUGUCUUUUACAGGAGCAGCAUUUCUUACUGUGUGCCCCUCUAGGUUGCUAAUUUUUCAUGUUGUGAUCUGCUACAAAUUCCCAGACUUCCUAGUUUGAGCACUGCAACACUCAGGUACAUUAUUCACUAGCACAUAUCAUAAAGGCAUACAGAACACUCUGCAGUUAAUAUAAACUUAUAUUGGCAAUCCUAAACAAGCCAAAUGUGUGUGUCCUGAUGCUAUUGAAAAACCAGAAUCAAAAUCCUGUUGAGUUCUCCAGACCAUGUUGUCCCAUUGAUUUCACUACUGAACUCACAGUGAUGGGCAGUGCAAUCCACCAUUUAUUUAUUUUUUAAAGUAAUUCUCACCAUGUCCCCAUUGCAUUAUGACUGCCACAGUCUCCAGAUGCAAUGGAGCUUCUGUCUCUGAAAAGGCAUUCGCCAAAUAAGAUGGCACAAAUAAUCUUGGCCAAAUGUCUACAUAUAUAUUAGUAAAACAAACAAAACGUUCAGAAGAUUUCUUUUCUAAAAGUGUAAAUCCAGCUGAUUUUGACUUCAGCAUUCAAAACCUUCAGUUUCUCUAUCAAUAUAUUUUUGGCUCUAGUCUCUA